GGGUUGUAAAGCCCUUUCGGUGGGGAAGAAAUCGGCCGGGCGAAUAGUCCGGUCGGAUGACGGUACCCGCAGAAGAAGCACCGGCUAACUACGUGCCAGCAGCCGCGGUAAUACGUAGGGUGCGAGCGUUAAUCGGAAUUACUGGGCGUAAAGGGUGCGCAGGCGGCCCUGUAAGACCGGUGUGAAAUCCCCGGGCUCAACCUGGGAAUUGCGCUGGUGACUGCAGGGCUAGAGUACGGUAGAGGGGGGUGAAUUCCUGGUGUAGCAGUGAAAUGCGUAGAGAUCAGGAGGAACACCGAUGGCGAAGGCAGCCCCCUGGGCCUGUACUGACGCUCAUGCACGAAAGCGUGGGGAGCAAACAGGAUUAGAUACCCUGGUAGUCCACGCCCUAAACGAUGAGAACUAGCCGUCUGGAGUCUUCGUGCUCUGGGUGGCGCAGCUAACGCGUGAAGUUCUCCGCCUGGGGAGUACGGCCGCAAGGUUAAAACUCAAAGGAAUUGACGGGGACCCGCACAAGCGGUGGAUGAUGUGGAUUAAUU
rnacentral:rRNA from 2 species